GUUUCAAUGAACAAUAAACUCCAAGACCAUUGUUGAAGAGAUCGAAGAAGACGAGCCAGCACUUAGACCGCCAGAAUAUAACCUUGUUCCUUUGAAUGAACUUGGCGUACACAUAGACACAGAUGCUGAAAUAGAUAUUUUGGCACUUGCAAUUCAUAUGAACCCGCCAAAUGAAGUGAAUACGAACCAUGGAAAAUCGUUGAUCCAAGAGAUAUACUUGAUUGAUCCAGGUCUAAAACUCCUGCGUUUAACAAUGUGGAAUCGCUUUGUUCAUGACGAAUGCCGCGAAAUUUCUGACCUUAUUCUGGCAAAGCCAAUUAU